rnacentral:sRNA from 2 species
GUUUUGGCCAUUGCCUCUAUUUGCCCCUUCCAGGCAUCGUCAUCACCUAUCUCAUCAUCUCAUCCUCUUCGCAACUACAGAUGAGAAACUAACGAAUCGCAAAUAGAUCAUGAAAUGGAUUUUUUGCUGUGGCUCUCCUGCACCUAAAAAUACAAACCUCGGCCUCUUGGCAGCGACGAUCCGGCCCUUCGCGCUAUCAGCACUACGACUACUGCUAAUAGCUAGCGACCGUUGAGGGAUGCUGGAGCGACCGGACAUUGGACAAUGGAACUCUGGACUCUGGACUCUGUGCUCUACUACUGGACUUGCUGCGGCAAUCCUGUACGAGCCGACAACGACUCAACCAGUCCGAGCAAACUCCGCCCUGCAAGCCACGUUCAAAAGAAAAUAAGAAACAAAAAAAAGGUUUUUUUUUCGCACUAGCUCUCAGAUUCACAGCUCUUCUCCGCGGUCGCCUCCAAGCAAGAUAGUACCAGUAUCAAAACGGAUAGCUCGCGGUUUUUGGACACUGAAUCAAUUGGAUUCGGCAACUUCCUUCUUUCACCAUUUACGCUCGUUAAGGUUUUAGUGCUUGUCCUCGGCGGACACUCCCGCAUGUGAUAGAUAUACGCGGUAGACUCAAGAUCGGUAGCGAGCUUCAAGAUUAACCUUCCCAGGUCCUUGUAUAGAUAAACACCUCCAGCGGGAAUGUGGAUGCGAGAAGUGACCGAGUAUGUGUAAAUCGAAAAAAGGAGUUUAUGAAGAAAAACAAAUUGUUUACAAAAAUAAUAAAAUAAAUAAUAAAUAAAAAAAAGGAGGAGCAGGGGGGGGAGAGGAGAAGCGGAGUAAAGGACAGAAAAGGUGAACGAGAAAACAGCUUUUCUCUCGGCAUCAAAGGACCGACUUGACGAGAGCAUCGCUGGUUGGACACUGACCUUGGGGAAGGUCGGUUCCCUAAGCGACCAGAUUCUUGUGCCCAGGUCGUCCCUUUGGCUUCGGUGGCUGGUACUGUGCGUCCGUCCAAUCGGUGUUGCCAGACCUUGACAUACACAUGUAGAUAUAAAAUCGGUUAAUGUUUAAGAAUAUAAUAAAUAGCCAACUAAAAAUAUAUAUCAGAUACUAAUAAUAAGAAGAAUUCAACCAG